rnacentral:lncRNA from 1 species
CUCCUGUGGUUUCGUUGUUUCUCACUUUGCCCCCCUGUGUUUAAAAUGCAUCAAUUUGCCCCCAUGUGGUUUCUUUUUUCUCUUUUUCUUAUCAAUUUUAUUAUUUUUUUUCUUAAAUCAGUGAUAAAAUUAAAAUUAAAGGGUAUUAAAGUGAAUAUUUGAUAAAUCUAGAUGGGUAUCUGAAGUUUUUUAUAUAUAAUUUAAUGAAAUAUUAACGAAAAAGCUACCGAAAAGAUAAAAACGAAACCACAGGGGGGCAAUUUGAUACAUUUUAAACCACAGGGGGGCAAAAUAAGAAACUGCGAAACCACAGGGGGGUUUUUGAAGUUUUUUCCUUUUAUUUUUAAGCGGCACAGAUUUUUAAAUUAUUUUAGCUCAACCGAAAUAUAAAAAAAAUUUCUAUUUAAUAUCUGAACAAUUGCGACAAUUGCGACAAUUAACUCAAGUAACGGUAAGGGGGCGUUUGGAUUGACGUAUUUGUAGAUUCAACGUAAGUCAAGUGUAGUGGUGUUUGAGUUUUUCUGAAGUGUGAUUAUUUUUUUGCUGUUUGUUUUGACGUAACUCGUACCGCCUGAAAGUUAAAUUCAAUCACUUCUGUUGUUUGUUUUGAUGUAACUUGGUGCUGGUAAAAUUAGUUUUUUGAGUUCCGUUGUUUGUUUUGAUGUAAGUAAGUGGAUCUCAUUAUCUACUAAAUAUAAUAGUAAAUUUACCACUAUAAAAUUUAAUCUAUUAUAUAAUUAAUUUUUUUAUUAUUAUUUAAAGAUAAUCCUAAUUUAUUAUAAAUAAGGUAAUUCUAACCCAUUAUAAAGGGAGUAGAGUUUAGGUUUUACUGUUUAAUAAAUUUUUUAGAGGAGGUUGAGUAUAGUGAAAGUCGAGUUCGGCACUUUAGAGGAGGAAGUCGAGAGUAGGUGAAAUGGAGUUCUAACGUAACUUGAGUUACAUUAUAUUUUUCACUUAUAUCAAAACAAAUAACAGAAGUGAUGGAACUUGAGUUCCAUCACUCCACUUACACCAAAACAAACUGGCCCUAAAUUGCACCACUGGUCCACACAACUUUUUUCC